GGGUUUAUAAUCUAAAGGAUGUUAAUGUUGUGUUGAAGGAUUUAAUAAAAGUGAUUUUGGUUAGUAAAUUUUAGUACCAUGUAAGGAAAGUAAGUGUUUUAUUUAUAGUAAAUUAGUACCGUGAGGGGAAUGUGAAAUAAUAGUGAAAAAUGUUUUUAAGGGUAGUAGACACGGAGUUGUACCUUGUGUAUCAGGGUUUAUUAAUUAUAAGCGUAGGAGUUCGUUAUCCCGAAAUAAAAAGAGUUAAAAUUAUAUAAUAUGGUUGUUGUAGUAGAAAUAUCAGAAAUAUAAUUUUUGUAAUGAAAUGUUAAACGCUUUUUAUGCUAUCUGGUUUUUUAAGAAAGAAAUUUAAUUUGAUCAUGUUGAUGCAAUGAUUUCGUAGUUGGAAUAAUUUAUUUAAAUAUGUUUUAUAUUUGUCGGGAUAAGCUGAUGAAUAGAGGAGGUUAUAAUGAUUUGAGAUUGUAUUUAAUGUUUUAGGCUUUAAAUUAGCUUUUUGUGUAAAAUUGUUAUAAGGUAAUUAAUAUAUUGGAAUAUAAUUUUGGAGAAGGAUUAAUUUUUUUAUUAGAAUAGGAUGGUUAAUGGGUAUAGAUAUUUGAAAUUAUGAUAAAAUGAGUAUAAGUUUUAAUGUAGCCAAGAUGAGGUUAUUAAUAAUUAAAAUUAAGGAAUUAGGCAAAUGGUGGUUAUUCGCAUGUUUAUCAAAAACAUCUCUUUUUGUAAUGAUAAAAAGUAGGGCCUGCCCACUGAAGUUUAAAGGGCCGCGGUAAUUUGACCGUGCAAAGGUAGCAAAAUCAUUAGUCUUUUAAUUGGGGGCUGGAAUGAAUGGUUUGACGAAAUAAAAGCUGUCUUGAUUUUAUUAAUCAUGGAAAUUAACUUUUUAGUUAAAAGGCUAAAAUAAUAAUAAGGGACGAGAAGACCCUAUAGAGUUUUACUUAGCGGUAGAUUGUUUUGUUUAGGAAUUGUUAAUAAGGUAAUUAUCCGAGAGUUUUGUUGGGGUGACAUGAAGAAUUAAUAAACUCUUUAUUUGAAUUUACACUAAUUGGUGGUUGAUUGAUCCAGUUUUAUUGAUUAUGAGAUUAAAUUACCUUAGGGAUAACAGCGUAAUUUUUUUUGAGAGUUCUUAUCGACAAAAAAGAUUGCGACCUCGAUGUUGGAUUAAGAAAAUUUCUAGGUGUAGCAGUUUAGAAGAAUAAGUCUGUUCGACUUUUAAAUUCUUACAUGAUCUGAGUUCAGACCGGCGUGAGCCAGGUCGGUUUCUAUCUUUAUAAUAUUAUAAAAUUUUAGUACGAGAGGACCAAAUUUUAAAAAUAAUUUUUAUAGAAUGACUUAUAGUAAUAAAUU
rnacentral:rRNA from 1 species